UACGGAGGGUGCAAGCGUUAUCCGGAUUCACUGGGUUUAAAGGGUGCGUAGGUGGGCAAGUAAGUCAGUGGUGAAAUCUCCGGGCUUAACCCGGAAACUGCCAUUGAUACUAUCUGUCUUGAAUACCGUGGAGGUCAGCGGAAUAUGUCAUGUAGCGGUGAAAUGCUUAGAUAUGACAUAGAACACCAAUUGCGAAGGCAGCUGGCUACACGAAUAUUGACACUGAUGCACGAAAGCGUGGGGAUCAAACAGG
rnacentral:rRNA from 1 species